GAAAUAUACAAGGCACAAAGUGGGCCUUAGCCCCUAGGCCCAGGGCAGCUGUAGGGAUGAUGGGGUCCCAUGACAGGAGGUGCCAUACAGGCCACAGGAGUAGGUGGCUCCCUUCUAAUCUAGGGCAGGAGCUCGCACACUACCCAAAAUGACGGUCUCAAGAAAAGGCAGCGUCCCUCCUACACAAGGGGCCCAGACUGUGGCAAGCCUUUCCUUUAGGCUCUCUGCUCACCACGUCGUUGACCUGGGGCCUUGGGAGAAGUACCUUUCUGAGGAGAGGCCCUGGCCUUGGGAAGUGAGGGACCCAGGAGGGAGUCUGGGCUCUGCCUUCUGUGCCUUCAUUUCCCCCACUAAUCCCCUAAGCUAAUCGUUGCCGAGGCCGGCCUGCCUAUCUAGGAGCUCCCAGUCUAGAGUUAAGAGGCUUAUGAACAGAAUGACAGGAAGGAUUCCAAGGACUUGUAUCCUUCCAGCUCCAAUCACAGGCUCUGCAGGCUGUGGGUAGAGCCUCAGCACCCAGACAGGAGUCAAUGCUCCCGUGGGGGGACAGCCCCUGCCUCACCCCACUGCUGCCUGUCAUCUUUCCAGCUGCAGGACAAACGGCUGGCAUCUCGCCAAGGGCCUGGCUGCUGUGGGGCCAGUGGACCAACUCUGCCCCCUGCUGGCCGAGAAGGAUCCUGCUGUGCUCCCAGGGGGAGGCAGGCUGCUUGGUGGGCACAGAGGGCUUCCACCCAUAGCAGCUGAACACCCGCUACGGACUCGAUACUGUGCCAGAUGCUUCUCCACUGCCAACUUCCCCGGACAAAAACAAGGCAGCAGCUGGUGUUAAAUGCAGGAGGGGGCAAGGUACCUGCGUUUACUUAUGGAAGAAAACCAAAAAAAUCAGCAAAAGUGGCUGCCACCUGCUGGAGCUGGAAGGAGGCUUGCACUAAAUACAUCUUUUUUGAAUUUUGAACCAUACAAAUGUUAUUACCAAUUUAAAAAUUACCUAUUAAAAAUACAUUUAUUCAC